rnacentral:rRNA from 1 species
GACGAACGCUGGCGGCGUGCUUAACACAUGCAAGUCGAACGGAAAGGCCUCUUUCGGGGGGUACUCGAGUGGCGAACGGGUGAGUAACACGUGAGUAACCUGCCCUUGACUUUGGGAUAACUUCAGUAAACUGGGGCUAAUACCGGAUAGGAGCUCCUGCUGCAUGGUGGGGGUUGGAAAGUUUCGGCGGUUGGGGAUGGACUCGCGGCUUAUCAGCUUGUUGGUGGGGUAGUGGCUUACCAAGGCUUUGACGGGUAGCCGGCCUGAGAGGGUGACCGGCCACAUUGGGACUGAGAUACGGCCCAGACUCCUACGGGAGGCAGCAGUGGGGAAUAUUGCACAAGGGGUGGAAGCCUGAUGCAGCAACGCCGUGUGCGGGAUGACGGCCUUCGGGUUGUAAACCGCUUUCGCUCAUGACGAAGCUUUGUGUGACGGUAGUGGGUAAAGAAGCACCGGCUAACUACGUG